rnacentral:rRNA from 1 species
ACACGGACCAAGGAGUGCAACAUGCGUGCGAGUCUUGGGGUGGCAAACCCAUCGGCGCAAUGAAAGUGAAGGCAGAUGUUUUGGUCUGCUGAGGCGAGAGCCCCUUCGGGGGCACAUCGUCGACCGAUCCCAGGCUACGCUGUGGCGGGAUUUGAGUAAGAGCGUGCCUGUUGCGACCCGAAAGAUGGUGAACUAUGCCUGAAUAGGGUGAAGCCAGGGGAAACCCUGGUGGAAGCUCGUAGCGAUUCUGACGUGCAAAUCGAUCGUCAAAUUUGGGUAUAGGGGCGAAAGACUAAUCGAACCAUCUAGUAGCUGGUUCCCUCCGAAGUUUCCCUCAGGAUAGCUGGAGCCCGGUGCAGUUUUAUCAGGUAAAGCGAAUGAUUAGAGGUCUUGGGGUUGAAACAACCUCAACCUAUUCUCAAACUUUAAAUGGGUAAGAAGCCCGGCUUGCUUAAUUGAAGUCGGGCAUCGAAUGCCGGGGYUCCUAGUGGGCCAUUUUUGGUAAGCAGAACUGGCGAUGUGGGAUGAACCAAAUGCCGGGUUAAGGUGCCCGAAUCGACGCUCAUCAGAUCCCAUGAAAGGUGUUGGUUGAUCCAGACAGCAGGACGGUGGCCAUGGAAGUCGGAAUCCGCUAAGGAGUGUGUAACAAC